CAGCUUUGAACAACAUAGGGGGGAUGACCGUAUUCAGGGGCGGUCCUCCUAAAGUGGAGAAAGACUAGGGGAAUAUGGGGUCCAGAUCUUGCGGUGCAUACAGUUUCAGCGGAAGUAGCUGUCCGCUCCCUUGUCCAGUAACCAUUCUGAGUGGGGCUAGAACUUUGACGGGAAAAGCGCCGGGUCCGGGAAAGAAAGGAGUCACACAAAUAGGUGGUGACUUCCUCUACUCGCUUCAGUACAAGAAGGCGGACCUUUUUCCAGCAAGUCGGGUUGCUACCGGGACUACUGUGGAAGCUGGGUGGUUCUGAGGUACCAUCCCCUAGGCUUUCAGUGGCCUAUAGAAGUAGCAUGUCGGGGUGAAGAAGGUGGCUCCAUACCCGGGAAUGUGGG
rnacentral:lncRNA from 1 species